rnacentral:lncRNA from 1 species
GCUGUGGGAAGCAAAGUCAGCAGUCGAACCUUGCAGGAGGCAGCAGGAGGUGUGCAGUGAGGACACGCGUGUGACCACGGGACGUGGGACGAGGGGAGGCAUGGGAUAAGGAGAUGCGUAGAGUGAGGAUUUCUGUGGAGUGAGGUGAUGCGUGGAGUGAGGAGAUGCGUGGAGUGAGGAGAUGCGUGGAGUGAGGAGAUGCGUGGAGUGAGGAGAUGCGUGGAGUGAGGAGAUGCGUGGAGUGAGGAGAUGUGUGGAGUGAGGAGAUGUGUGGAGUGAGGUGAUGUGUGGAGUGAGAUGCGUGCAGUGAGGAGAUGUGUGGAGUGAGGUGAUGUGUGGAGUGAGGUGAUGCGUGCAGUGAGGAGACGCGUGCAGUGAGGAGGUGAGUGGCGUGCGGAGUGGAGGGCUGGGAAACCACACCUGGGGCGGUUCUCCAGUUGCCCAAUCUUUAUCAAGCCCCUUCCUCCUCAUCUUUAAAACCAGAAGGCUGGCCAGUCAGUCUCUCAGGCCUCUCCCUGUUCUAGCCCCUGUGAUUCAGUAACAGCCCCACAGCUGCCAUAUCAGCCGGUUUUGCAGGGCUGAGCAUGGAAGGUGCCUGAGAGUGUGGCCAGCUCUCGGCAGGAGCAGGACUCUGCACUACAGGCUUCUAAGGCAGAAAAGCAUCUUCUGUCCACGACGACAAGGGUGUUUCCGCUGCAAGCGCUUCUCGCAUGCUUGAGACAACCUGACUGAGGGGUUGCCAGCAGGGGUGGGCACCAGCCGCACAACAAACCAAAUGACCUCUGCGGCCCAUUCCUUAAGACCGGGAACUCUGGACUAAAGUGUGCUGCCCUGUGUGCCCAGCAACCUGGCGACAGCAGUCGUUUCACACACAGCCCG